GAUGAACGCUAGCGGCGGGCUUAAUACAUGCAAGUCAAGGGGUAGCAAUACACCGGCGUACGGGUGCGUAACGCGUAUGGAACCUGCCCUUAUCUGGGGGAUAACUCGGGGAAACUCGAGCUAAUACCGCAUAAGAUAGUAGAAUGGCAUCCUUCAGCUAUUACAGAUUUAUCGGAUAAGGAUGGCCAUGCGUAAGAUUAGAUAGUUGGUGGGGUAACGGCUCACCAAGUCUACGAGCUUUAGGGGCUCUGAGAGGAGAAUCCCCCACACUGGCACUGAGAUACGGGCCAGACUCCUACGGGAGGCAGCAGUAGGGAAUAUUGGGCAAUGGGCGGAAGCCUGACCCAGCCACGCCGCGUGCAGGAAGAAGGCCCUCUGGGUUGUAAACUGCUUUUGAUUGGGAAGAAAGCAUCUCAUGCGUGGGAUUCUGACGGUACCUGACGAGAAAGCCCCGGCUAACUACGUGCCAGCCGCCGCGGUAAAAC
rnacentral:rRNA from 1 species